CUGCUCUGUUGUCGCCCCCCCUUUAAAGCUGACCUUACAGGUGACCUCAGUACCAUGGUCCUCAGCUGAGGGAGUAAAGGUCAAAGUUGAGCUGUGUCUUUGUGCAGCAGCAGACAGCCUCUCAGUACUGAAGUUUCCUCUAAUGACAGAGUCGUUUUCUCCUCGUCUCCACAUCCAGGUGAUCUGAGGAGCAGAUCCAGAGCAGAGACCAGGAGCAGUGCAGCUCAGUGUGGUCUGCUGUCCCUCUGUCAGAGGAGGAAUCAUCACUGUGGGCUUCUGGGUCAGAGCUGAUGAGAGAGAGGUCCAUGAGUACAUGAGGUGAGCAGCAUGGAAACUAUUAAAACACUUUAUUUUGGGGAUUAAAUUUACUCAGAUACUGAAAAAAUAAGAAUCAAGGAGAAUAAGAGUAAUAAUAUGAAUGGCUGCAGUUCUCACAGAUUACCAGCAGAGAGCAACAAAUGCUAAAAUUUACUUCAUAUGAGUUUUUACAGCUGAAAUACUCUGUUGGAGUUUGUUUGCACACGACAUCAUAGACCUCCUCAGUGUGUUUGUGUAGCUCUUCGUACCUUUAACAGAGACAUUCGCUCUUAAGGAAUACUGGAAUCCAUCUUUAUCCUUGCCAGGACUGAAACCGUUAACUCUGAGCUGAUAUGAUCCAGAGUCUGACACAGUCAGGUCAUUGAUGAUGAUGCUGCACUUCCUCUGACUCGUACCGGGCUCCAACUGUUUUACUCUGCCUUUAAAUCCAGACUGAACCUUUUUGUCGUUCUUUUUGUAUAUCACAUCUUGAUCAGUACAUCUUGGUUUGGAUGGUUCACAUUUGAACCACACAAUAUUCUGGGGAAUGAAGGUUGAGCUUGUAUUGAAAGAGCACGGUAUCACAACGCACAGUCCAGCUUCAGCUCCUAUUUCUCCGUCACUGAGAGUGAUACAGAAUUCAUUUUGACAGGCGGAUCUUCUUUCUAGUGAGCAGAGACACAAAAGUGGGUGUUAUUGGGGCCAAAAAAAUCUGAUAUUUUACAACAAACUGAGAAAAACAGCUGCUGAUUUUGGCUCAUUGUGCCACAAGGAUAAAACAGAAGACAAAUUAGGGUGAAUUAUAGAGUCUUAGGGUUGUUGUUGGCUGUUUGUUUCUGAACAGUGUAAUGGAGGUCCUCGCUCUGACACUCACAUGCUCUGUAACGUCUGCCUGAACAUAACGCUUCGUAUUCAUGAGUCAGGAGUCUGUUAGAUUUGAAAUUUUGUCACCUUAAGAUCACUAUGAAGUUACACACCUGUGUCUGCUCUGCUGUCCAUCACAGAGAAAAGCAGAGUUGUCCAUAUGAGGACAAACAUCCUGAGUUGGUUGUUGAGACUGUCGGUCUCUCUCCCGCUGCAGAAAAGAUUUUCACAGUAAACAUGAAGAAAGUGACAAAGUGAAGCUCAAAGCUGACAUGACAGUCCUAAAAUACAAGAUUGUUCAUUUUCAGCAGCUCCACGGUUCACACGUCACACUCAGGAGAGUUUGUACAGCUCAGCAUUGAUCAGUCGUUGAUUUAACUACAAUGAUUUUAAUAACAAUAGCAGCUCUUGGCCGUUUCAGCCUCUCCAGACCUCACUAAUAGUUUCCAAUACAGCCGUUAUGCAGUCUUCCUCAUUUUAAGUCUCCCUCCAAUCCAGUCUACACUCUUACUUUACCAGCAAACUAAAGACUAUCAAAAAGCAUUUUAAUAACUCUGUAAGGAUGAAGGAAAACACUCUGGAAACUUCUAUUUACUCUCCCAAAAUUAAUUUCCAAACUCUUUCAUACCUCCAUCUGUCUCCUUCCUCCGCUCUCUUUUCUCUACAAGUUUCAGCGCUCAAAUGUCUCUUCUCUCUUUUCUAUUUCUCCUUUCGGUGUGCAACCAGAUUUCAGGAAGGUUCUGCAAACACAGCUUAUUUCUCCUCUGCCUAAACUGACAGGUUUUUUUGGUUUUUAAUCUUUUUGAUCAUAAAUACGCACUUUUAGUAUCCCACAUUUCUCAGAACUCUGUUUUUGUUUCUUAUGUUUAGCUUUUUCAUCGUAUGUUAAGGUGUCUGAGCUAUCCAGAGAUUUUUAGUGUCACAGCCCUGUUCUCGGUGUGUCUCUAAUGCUGUUAAAAACUUAAUAAUCUUUACAACAACGUCAGCUUUGGACCCUAAAAACAGCUUUUGAAUUCAUGAACUGAGAAAACUACAGCACAUCCUGUUUUUCAACACUCUUCAGUUACUUUAGCAGAAAAUCAAAAAGGUAAGAAUAAAUAACUCCAGCCUUUCCACAAUCACAAAAUAACAUGUUUAAGUGUCUUUCAAAGUUGUCUUUUACCUCUCUCUGUCUCGCUCCUCUGCUCUCUUUCCUCUGCAAGUUUCAGUUCUGAACUGACCCCCUUUUCACUUUGCGUUUGGUCUUUUUUUGGAAGAUUUGAGGAAGUUUUCUCAGGCACUUCUGCGUUUUAUUUCUCUUCUUUUGAACCAUCUGUAUUCUCAAUGAUAUCAUAAAUACUCUCACUGAAAUAUCAAAGUUUCAAUGUUACGUCUGUUAUUUCUCUAAAUUUCAGUAUACACAAAAUUCACUCUUAGUUAUCACACAUUGCUGCACACUUCUGCUCUCAGCCUUUCUUUGCUGAUGUUGUCCUUUAAAUACAUAAACCAGAAACAGAAUCAGAAAACUUUAUUUAUCCCCAGGGGGGAUUAGAUUAGAUUAGAUACAACUUCAUCUGUCCUUUUGGGAAGGUUCCCUCAAGACAUUAAACGUUCAAGCAUAAGUGUAUACAAUCAGUUUGUAGUGUAGAAUAUUGCACAGAGAAUUACACAAUUUCAUGUUUCCUGAUAAGAAAUCUCAUCCUCUUGACUUUUCAAAAUCAAACCCGUUUACUCAUUUUUAUGAACUACAGGGAAAAAAGCUUCUUCUUCUUCGGUGUGUUGUGAAACAUCUGGUCUAACACCCUCACAGGAGUCACAGACAUUAAAAAUGACAACAGAGGAAAUAUCAGUCUGUUUUAUAACCAGCAGAAAUCUCCUCACAGGACCUUCAUGAACCUUGAUUUGGUGUGUUUUGAGUCGUACGCUAUCCUGCGUUUAUGCUACAUACAAACAGUUUCAGGUAAAUCACAGAAUGAAAUCAUAAGACAGGAGAAGAAAUUAUGAGUCAUUUAAACACAUCAAAAAAACAUCAGCUUAGUCUGUCCUCAUUAUAAAAGCAGAACCUGAGGGAGCGCUUCUGCAUUAUUGUGUUUUUAUAGUUCAUGUUGCGCAACAUCCGUGGAUUCUGCUCACAGCAAAGUCGGUCCAGUUGAUGACUUGAACAUGAGCUUGUUUGGUACCUCUGUGUGCUCAGUAUCCUAAGAAGUGACAAAGUUACUUAAACCUUCAAAUCACUUCAAUCUGCUGUAAGUCAGUGAAAAGUUCAUUGACUUUAUUUUUACUUGAAAUCAUUUCGCUGUGAAACAACCUUAAAAAAACUUGGAGUGAAGCUGACUCUGGUUAGUUCAGAGGUCGGCAGAUAACUGCAGACUCUGGAGCAGGGCUCUCAAGUAUUGAGCUGAGCUUGGAGUGAGAUCAUUUUUUAUUUUGUUUGUUUAUUUGUUUGUUUUUGAGGGGGAAGUGAAGUGAAGUGUGUUUGAAGAUAACCUAAAUUGAGGUAAAAAAUGAUCCAUAAAGCAAAUUUACUGCAUAGUUCCUUGACUUUAAUAAAAUACAGCAAUUGUAUGAGAAAAAAAUCAAGUGAUUGAGUUGCAACAUAAUUUCAGGACCCACUUCCAGCUCUUCUUUAGUGUGCACACAAUAGCAGCAUUCGUGCGUGUGGAGGACACGAUUAUGGUGCUGUUAUUUCACCUAGCAACAAGAAAUACUAUUUUCUGACUGGCUGAUUGGUUGCAGAUUCAAGCAUCAUCCAUUUAUAGGUUUACUGCGUGAGAAAUGUUGUGUGGUGCGUGAACUCGUUGAAAUGUGUGUCUCACGCUCGACACGUGAAACCUGAGAGCCCUGCUCUGGAGAUAGCUCUGUUUUCUGAAGAGACAUGUAAGUCCUGUCCGCCUUGUUUGGUGUCACUGUUCUUCUUUUGGUCCUUUUUUGAGAAAAAGAGAAAAAAAAAAUUCAACAUGAUUGAGUGUUUAAAAGUCUUCACUGCAUUAACUGAGCUGUGGAAACACAGACUGAGGGUUUAGUAACUCACCAGAGAAACGCCACGAGGAUUACACAGAUGACGUUCAAAACGAGAGACAGAGCAGCAACGACAGCCAAAGAGAGCACGACUCCUUGUGAACAGAAACGUUUAACAAGUUACUUUUUAAUGUAAAAUCAAGUAUUUAUUUUAAGUCAGCCUUUAGUCGUCAGUUCUCACCCUCCUGUUCAAACUCGCUGGCUAUGACGAUCUUCAGCUCCUUCUUCACUUCUCCAAAGUUAUUUUUGCUGACACACCCAACAGUGGAGUAGCUGUGAUCUUUAUCAGGUACAGUGAUGCUGCUGUUGACUCUGUUUUUCCACACACUUGUCGUGACACAGUGUUGGGUGUGAUUGUUUAGCAGUGGCCAUGUAACGGUGGGUAAAGGAAACCCCUCACUGAUACACACACAGGUCAGGACACCAGGCUGAGCUUCACAUGCAGAGCUGUUGAGAAUCUUUGGUGAAACUGUAAACAAACAAGAGGAAUAGAAGAAUGAUUCAGUAGGUGGGAGACUUAAAAUUUAAAGUCAUAUGUUUUGCUAGAAAUGAAAGCCUUUUAUUAAUAACAGUAAAAACAAAUACUUUGACAUUAGUCCUGAUAUAGUCCUCUAAAAGCACAGGAGUCAGGUAAUAUAGUACAAAACUGGAUUUAUUUCACAUCAGCAGAAACUCUCUAAUUGUUACUAAAAUGUUGAUGGUUACUUUAAUUUCUAGAAAGUUAGUUUUAAUGUCUUGUUUUUCAGAUGUCUUGUUCAACAGGUUUCUGUUCUGUAUUUUUGCUAUAAAAGGUGAAAACUUUUCAAGCAAGGUUCAAUUUAAACAACUAAACACCAGUUCAAUAAUUUCUAUUUAAAUAUGACACGACAGAAAUGGAGAAAUUAUCCUGAAAAUGGUGCAGAUUCAGUUUCCCGAACCAGAUCAACUUUAUAUAACAUGUACAAAAUAGAAGAAAACACUAAAAAGUUCAUUCAAAUUUAUUUUGUUUCAAUCUGUUUGUGAUUUAAACUUUUAUCAAGUUGCACCAUUUUCAUCAGGGGACAUGAAAACAAUCAGAAAAUCUGCUCCUGUUGUUUUUCCGUGAAACAUUUUUAGAGAUCAGAUACUCACAGGUCACAGUCAGAGUCUCUUUCUUCUCUGUGGAGAUGUUGUUUUUGAAGCUGACCUUACAGGUGACCUCAGUGCCAUGGUCCUCAGCUGAGGGUGUAAAGGUCAAAGUUGAGCUGUGUCUUUGUGCAGCAGCAGACAGACUCUCAGUACGGAAGUUUCCUAGGAUGACAGAGUCGUUUUCUCCUCGUCUCCACAUCCAGGUGAUCUGAGGAGCAGAUCCAGAGCAGAGACCAGGAGCAGUGCAGCUCAGUGUGGUCUGCUGUCCCUCUGUCAGAGGAGGAAUCAUC